AACUGAUACUACCUGCGGGAACCUGCGGAAGGAUCAUUACCGAGUACUCCUGCCUAGCGGGAACUCCCACCCUUGCUUACAAAUCUGUUGCUUCGGCGAGACGCUAGAAUUUCUGGCUACUGACAUCUUGAUGUCGGUGAGCGCUCGCCGAAGUUUUUUCAAACUCUUUAAUACUGAAAAGUCAGAGUAAAAGCGAAAUCUAUAAAAACUUUUAACAAUGGAUCUCUAGAUCGGAAGAGC
rnacentral:misc_RNA from 1 species